CGAGGGCGCGCUGGGGGGGGGGUUUCCGGCCCGCAUGUAUUUGCAUAUAUUAUAGAGGCCACUAGUGCUGACCAAGCUGCCAUCUUUCUCUCUUCCCGUCUUUCAAUGGCUGCUUCAAUUUCAGCUUGAACCUCCAAACCGCAAGUUAGCACCUCAUACCACAGUGCAUCAAAGCAGUCUCAUGAGCGCUGGGAAGGACGAGCCCAGAGCCCAAAACAGACAGUGCAGGAGAUGACAAGCUGUCCUGUGCCAGAAGUUCUGUUGACCCACAGUGAGAGGCAUCAUUUCAGAAACACCAGGAAGACUGAAACUCGUCGCCGGGAUCAAGCAGGGCUCGUGAUCUUCACCAGCAGCUCCCUCACAAGAAGGAUAAACCCAGCAUUUCAUGAACACUGAUGGAGACCUUUGCUUUGUGUAAUGUUAGAAGUACUCAGAUAAUCCUCAGGACAGAAAACAUGCUGCUGUUUGCACAUAUUUAAUAAUCAGCUCUGCACAGGAGCAGAAGCAGAGUCCAGCCUGUUGCUCUUACAGUAUAAUACUCAUAAUAAAAGUACAGUAACCGUGGUUAGUCACUGAGCAGCCCGGUGCGUUUCUCUUGAUUUCUUUAGUCAGGGUAAAUUCAUUCACCUGCACGGGGUAGCUAAACGAACUUUACAAAACAUGUUUCCCCGACAGCCGAGUGCUCAUUUUAGCUAGCUAGGUCCUUAGGUAGCUAGCUAAGGACCUAAAUUACGGAUUAGCUUACAAACACAUUUAACUUACCAAAAAUAAUGCGGUGGGGCCUCAGGUCCUCCUGUCCGGUAGUCCAAUUUACUGAAGAACACCUCAGGCUGUCACUUUGAAAUAGUCGGUAAUGUAAACGCUGGACCUCUCGGCAUCUGCCAUUCCCGAACAGACACGUGCGAGUUUGUCCGUGACCGCAGCCGCGUCGUCAGUGUUUUCUCCAGUCAUUGGUCAGCAUUAUAAUAUAUGCAAAUACAUGCGGGUCGGAAUCCCCGCCCCCCAGCGCGCCCCCGUACGCCAAAACAGUGCCAGCAGAGUGAAACUGAAAAAUGGUUUGAAACCGAAAA